AGGAGAACAAGAAGAACAAGAAGAACAAGAAGAACAAGAAGAACAAGACCAGAAGAAGCAGAAGCAGAAGCAGAAGCAGAAGAAGAAGAAGAAGAAGAAGAAGAAGAAGAACAAGAAGAACAAGACAAGAAGAAGAAGAAGAAGAAGCAGAAGAAGAAGAAGAAGAAGAAGACAGAAGAAGACAAGAAGACGACGACAAGAAGAAGAAGAAGAAGAAGAAGAACAAGAACAAGAAGAAGACAAGAAGAAGCAGAAGCAGCAGCAGCAGCAGCAGAAGAAGACAGAAGAUGAAGAAGACAACAGAAGAAGAAGACGACAAAAAGACGACGACGACGACGAGAAGAACGAGAAGAACAACAAGAAGAAGAAGAUGGGAGGGGGGGUUGUCCAUGUCGACCGCCCUCCACCUCAAAAAAAAAAAUUAACGAGGUUCUUCUCUUCCGCAGUCAAGGCCAACGUUCCCGCCGUCUACCCGUUGAUCUCCUGCGAUGGCUGCGAGGACAAGAACGUCAGCUUCGGUUGCUUGGUCAACGAUUUCUUCCCCGAACCCGUCGCCGUCACGUGGGUUUCCAGCGUCAAAGGAGAUGUGGAGACCUUCCCGGUCAUCCAAAGUGCAAAUAGUUACUACAGCCUCAGCAGCCAGUUGACCGUCCCGGUCAGCAGCUUGGAAGGCAACAACUUCCAGUGCAAGGUGGUCCACAGCCCUACCUCAACCACCGCCACCAAGGACUUCACGGAAGAUGAUGUUUGCCCCCAUCCUGUGGAGACAAAGCUCCUGGCUGACCCAAACCAGUACCGCGAAGAGCAGAAGGUCCUUCUGCUGUGCCUCGUCGAGGGGGACAAAGCUGGUGAAGCCAAGGUGGAGUGGUUGGUGAACCAUCAGGUGGCGGCCCUGCAACAGGAGGACACCACCUGUGACCAGUGCUCCAAGAAGGGCACCUUUAUGAGCAAGGUCAACGUCAGCCAGCAGAGCUGGAACAACGGAGCCGAGUUCUCCUGCAGAGUGACCCACUCGUCGUUGAAGGUCCCAGCCCUCCUCAACAUCAGCACGUUCUGCUUAGAUGUCCAACGGGAGGUGGUCACCAUCAUCCCCCCAUCCUUGGAGGACCUCUACCUCAGCCAGAACGCCAGCGUCACCUGCGUGGCCACCAACCUGAAAUCGUACGAGGACGUGAAGUUCUCCUGGAACCGGGAUCAAGGUAACUCCUUGGAUGUGACCUCUGGGACGGCGGAGAAGCUGGAGAACGGUCUUUACCGUCUCACCAGCACCUUGAAGAUCUGCGCCGACGAGUGGAACUCCGGCGAGAAGUUCACCUGCAACGCCAACAUUCCCGAGCUUGAUGAACCCAUCAGCAAGUCCAUCAAGAAAGACAUAGACGUCUCCGUGAAGGCACCUUCCGUCUACGUCUUCCCCCCACCGGCCGAAGAACUGGCCCGUCAAGAAACGGCCACCUUGACCUGUUUGGCUUCGGGUUUCCGUCCUCGUGACAUCUUGGUGACCUGGACCCAAGAAGACCGUCCAGUUUCUUCUGAUAGUUUCUCCAUCUUUGGUCCUCAAGAAGAAGGAGAUACCUACACGGUCUACAGCAAGUUGAAGGUGCCGGUGAGCGAAUGGCAACGGGGCGAUUCCUUCGCUUGCGUGGUGGGUCACGACGGCGUCCCCAUGAACUUCGUCCAGAAGAAUUUGGACAAGACCAUCGGUAAACCGACCGCCGUCAACGUCUCGGUGAUCCUGGCCGACGCCGACGUCACCUGCUAUUGAGUUUGGCGCUUGGGGGGUUGUGACUUCCUGCAGCAUCGGGAUAAUAAUAAAAAAGAGGAAAAAAAAAAAAAAGAAAAAAAGGAAAAAAAUUUAAA